GUGGGGAAUUUUGGACAAUGGGCGCAAGCCUGAUCCAGCAAUGCCGCGUGCAGGAAGAAGGCCUUCGGGUUGUAAACUGCUUUUGUACGGAACGAAACGGUCCGGGUUAAUACCCUGGGCUAAUGACGGUACCGUAAGAAUAAGCACCGGCUAACUACGUGCCAGCAGCCGCGGUAAUACGUAGGGUGCAAGCGUUAAUCGGAAUUACUGGGCGUAAAGCGUGCGCAGGCGGUUUUGUAAGACAGGCGUGAAGUCCCCGGGCUCAACCUGGGAAUUGCGCUUGUGACUGCAAGGCUGGAGUGCGGCAGAGGGGGAUGGAAUUCCGCGUGUAGCAGUGAAAUGCGUAGAUAUGCGGAGGAACACCGAUGGCGAAGGCAAUCCCCUGGGCCUGCACUGACGCUCAUGCACGAAAGCGUGGGGAGCAAACAGGAUUAGAUACCCUGGUAGUCC
rnacentral:rRNA from 1 species